UACGUAGGGCGCAAGCGUUAUCCGGAAUUAUUGGGCGUAAAGAGCUCGUAGGCGGUUUGUCGCGUCUGCCGUGAAAGUCCGGGGCUCAACUCCGGAUCUGCGGUGGGUACGGGCAGACUAGAGUGAUGUAGGGGAGACUGGAAUUCCUGGUGUAGCGGUGAAAUGCGCAGAUAUCAGGAGGAACACCGGUGGCGAAGGCGGUUCUCUGGGCCUGUACUGACGCUGAGGAGCGAAAGCGUGGGGAGCGAACAGG
rnacentral:rRNA from 1 species